UACGUAGGGUGCAAGCGUUAAUCGGAAUUACUGGGCGUAAAGAGUGCGUAGGCGGCUAUGUAAGACAGAUGUGAAAUCCCCGGGCUCAACCUGGGAACUGCAUUUGUGACUGCAUCGCUGGAGUACGGCAGAGGGGGAUGGAAUUCCGCGUGUAGCAGUGAAAUGCGUAGAUAUGCGGAGGAACACCGAUGGCGAAGGCAAUCCCCUGGGCCUGUACUGACGCUCAUGCACGAAAGCGUGGGGAGCAAACAGG
rnacentral:rRNA from 1 species